rnacentral:rRNA from 1 species
UACGGAGGGAGCUAGCGUUGUUCGGAAUUACUGGGCGUAAAGCGCGCGUAGGCGGUUACUCAAGUCAGAGGUGAAAGCCCGGGGCUCAACCCCGGAACUGCCUUUGAAACUAGGUAACUAGAAUCUUGGAGAGGUCAGUGGAAUUCCGAGUGUAGAGGUGAAAUUCGUAGAUAUUCGCAAGAACACCAGUGGCGAAGGCGGCUCACUGGCCCGGUACUGACGCUGAGGUGCGAAAGCGUGGGGAGCAAACAGG